rnacentral:rRNA from 1 species
AUUGAACGCUGGCGACAUGCCUUACACAUGCAAGUCGAACGGCAGCACGGGUGCUUGCACCUGGUGGCGAGUGGCGAACGGGUGAGUAAUACAUCGGAACAUGUCCUGUAGUGGGGGAUAGCCCGGCGAAAGCCGGAUUAAUACCGCAUACGAUCUACGGAUGAAAGCGGGGGACCUUCGGGCCUCGCGCUAUAGGGUUGGCCGAUGGCUGAUUAGCUAGUUGGUGGGGUAAAGGCCUACCAAGGCGACGAUCAGUAGCUGGUCUGAGAGGACGACCAGUCACACUGGGACUGAGACACGGCCCAGACUCCUACGGGAGGCAGCAGUGGGGAAUUUUGGACAAUGGGCGAAAGCCUGAUCCAGCAAUGCCGCGUGUGUGAAGAAGGCCUUCGGGUUGUAAAGCACUUUUGUCCGGAAAGAAAUCCUUGGCCCUAAUACGGCCGGGGGAUGACGGUACCGGAAGAAUAAGCACCGGCUAACUACGUG